AAGGUCCCUAAAUGUAAGUUAAGUGGUAAAGGAUGUGGGAUUGCACAGACAACCAGGAUGUUGGCUUAGAAGCAGCCACUCAUUCAAAGAGUGCGUAAUAGCUCACUGGUCGAGUGAUCCUGCGCCGAAGAUUUCCGGGGCUAAAACUUACUACCGAAGCUACGGCAUCAGUAAUGAUGGGUAGGGGAGCUUCCCAUACGGGUUGAAGCAUGACCGUAAGGACAUGGGGACAGUAUGGGAGUGAGAAUGUUGGCAUGAGUAGCGAGAUGUGGGUGAGAAUCCCACAGGCCGUAAACCCAAGGUUUCCAGGGGAAGGUUCGUCCGCCCUGGGUUAGUCGGGACCUAAGCUGAGGCCGAAAGGCGUAGGUGAUGGACAACAGGUUGA
rnacentral:rRNA from 1 species